GUGCUUGCCUCGGCAGCAUAUAUACUAAUAUUGAAACUAUACUGAAAACAUUAGCAUGGCCCUUGUGCAAGGAUGACCUGCAAAUUUUGAGAAGGGAUAGCAUAAUGAU